rnacentral:rRNA from 1 species
CAUUAAGUUAUGUGUGUUUUAGUGGAACGCUCUGGGAAGUGCGAACGUAGAGGGUGAUAUUCCCGUACACGAAAGGGCACACAUAAUGAUGACGAGUAGGGCGAGGCACGUGAAACCUUGUCUGAAUAUGGGGGGACCAUCCUCCAAGGCUAAAUACUCCUGACUGACCGAUAGUGAACCAGUACCGUGAGGGAAAGGCGAAAAGAACCCCUGUGAGGGGAGUGAAAUAGAUCCUGAAACCGCAUGCAUACAAGCAGUGGGAGCACCUUCGUGGUGUGACUGCGUACCUUUUGUAUAAUGGGUCAGCGACUUAUAUUCAGUAGCGAGGUUAACCGUAUAGGGGAGCCGUAGAGAAAUCGAGUCUUAAUAGGGCGUUUAGUUGCUGGGUAUAGACCCGAAACCAGGCGAUCUAUCCAUGAGCAGGUUGAAGGUUGGGUAACACUAACUGGAGGACCGAACCCACUGUCGUUGAAAAGCCAGGGGAUGACUUGUGGAUAGGGGUGAAAGGCUAAUCAAGCCUGGUGAUAGCUGGUUCUCCCCGAAAGCUAUUUAGGUAGCGCCUCGGACGAAUACCAUAGGGGGUAGAGCACUGUUUCGGCUAGGGGGUCAUCCCGACUUACCAAACCGAUGCAAACUCCGAAUACCUAUGAGUACUAUCCGGGAGACAGACUGCGGGUGCUAACGUCCGUAGUCAAGAGGAAAACAAUCCAGACCGCCAGCUAAGGCCCCAAAAUCAUAGUUAAGUGGGAAACGAUGUGGGAAGGCAUAGACAGCUAGGAGGUUGGCUUAGAAGCAGCCACCCUUUAAAGAAAGCGUAAUAGCUCACUAGUCGAGUCGGCCUGCGCGGAAGAUGUAACGGGGCUAAAACUAUGUGCCGAAGCUGCGGAUGUAUACUUUGUAUACGUGGUAGGGGAGCGUUCUGUAAGCCGAUGAAGGUGUGUUGAGAAGCAUGCUGGAGGUAUCAGAAGUGCGAAUGCUGACGUGAGUAACGACAAAACGGGUGAAAAACCCGUUCGCCGAAAGACCAAGGGUUCCAGUCCAACGUUAAUCGGGGCUGGGUGAGUCGACCCCUAAGGCGAGGCCGAAAGGCGUAGUCGAUGGGAAAAUGGUUAAUAUUCCAUUACUUCUGUGUAAUGCGAUGAGAGGACGGAGAAGGCUAAAUCAGCCUGGCGUUGGUUGUCCAGGUGAAAGGAUGUAGGCAUGUAUCUUAGGCAAAUCCGGGGUACUCUAUGCUGAGAUCUGAUAGCAAGCUGUACUUGUACAGCGAAGUGGUUGAUGCCAUGCUUCCAGGAAAAGUCUCUAAGCUUCAGUUACACAGGAAUCGUACCCGAAACCGACACAGGUGGUCAGGUCGAGUAGACCAAGGCGCUUGAGAGAACUCUGCUGAAGGAACUAGGCAAAAUGGUACCGUAACUUCGGGAGAAGGUACGCUGUUGUUGGUGAUGGAACUCGCUUCCUGAGCUGACGACAGCCGCAGAAACCAGGCCGCUGCAACUGUUUAUUAAAAACAUAGCACUCUGCAAACACGAAAGUGGACGUAUAGGGUGUGAUGCCUGCCCGGUGCUGGAAGGUUAAUUGAUGGGGUUAGCGUAAGCGAAGCUCUUGAUCGAAGCCCCAGUAAACGGCGGCCGUAACUAUAACGGUCCUAAGGUAGCGAAAUUCCUUGUCGGGUAAGUUCCGACCUGCACGAAUGGCAUAAUGAUGGCGGCGCUGUCUCCAGCAGAGGCUCAGUGAAAUCGAAAUCGCUGUGAAGAUGCAGUGUACCCGCGGCUAGACGGAAAGACCCCGUGAACCUUUACUGCAGCUUGACACUGAACUUUGACCUUACUUGUGUAGGAUAGGUGGGAGGCUUUGAAGCUGGAACGCUAGUUCCAGUGGAGCCGUCCUUGAAAUACCACCCUGGUAAUGUUGAGGUUCUAACUCUGUCCCGUGAUCCGGGACGAGGACCGUGUCUGGUGGGUAGUUUGACUGGGGCGGUCUCCUCCUAAAGAGUAACGGAGGAGUACGAAGGUGCGCUCAGCGUGGUCGGAAAUCACGCGUAGAGUAUAAAGGCAAAAGCGCGCUUAACUGCGAGACCCACAAGUCGAGCAGGUACGAAAGUAGGUCUUAGUGAUCCGGUGGUUCUGUAUGGAAGGGCCAUCGCUCAACGGAUAAAAGGUACUCUGGGGAUAACAGGCUGAUACCGCCCAAGAGUUCAUAUCGACGGCGGUGUUUGGCACCUCGAUGUCGGCUCAUCUCAUCCUGGGGCUGAAGCAGGUCCCAAGGGUAUGGCUGUUCGCCAUUUAAAGAGGUACGCGAGCUGGGUUUAGAACGUCGUGAGACAGUUCGGUCCCUAUCUACCGUGGGCGCUGGAAAUUUGAGAGGAUCUGCUCCUAGUACGAGAGGACCAGAGUGGACGAACCUCUGGUGUACCGGUUGUGACGCCAGUCGCAUCGCCGGGUAGCUAUGUUCGGAAGGGAUAACCGCUGAAAGCAUCUAAGCGGGAAGCCUACCUCAAGAUAAGAUUUCCCUAGGACUUUAUGUCCUCUAAAGAGCCGUUCGAGACUAGGACGUUGAUAGGUUGGAUGUGGAAGCAUAGUGAUAUGUGAAGCUGACCAAUACUAAUUGCUCGUGAGGCUUGACUA